GAUGAAGAACGUAGCGAAAUGCGAUACUUGGUGUGAAUUGCAGAAUCCCGUGAACCAUCGAGUCUUUGAACGCAAGUUGCGCCCGAAGCCAUUAGGCCGAGGGCACGUCUGCCUGGGCGUCACACGUCGUUGCCCCCCCCAACCCCCUCGGGAGUUGGAUGGGACGGAUGAUGGCCUCCCGUGUGCUCAGUCACGCGGUUGGCAUAAAUACCAAGUCCUCGGCGACCAACGCCACGACAAUCGGUGGUUGUCAAACCUCGGUUUCCUGUCGUGCGCGCGUGUUGAUCGAGUGCUUUCUUAAACAAUGCGUGUCGAUCCGUCGAUGCUUUCAACGCGACCCCAGGUCAGGCGGGGUUACCCGCUGAAUUUAAGCAUAUCAAUAAGCGGGGA
rnacentral:misc_RNA from 1 species